GAUGAACGCUGGCGGCGUGCCUAAUACAUGCAAGUCGAGCGAACGGACGAGAAGCUUGCUUCUCUGAUGUUAGCGGCGGACGGGUGAGUAACACGUGGAUAACCUACCUAUAAGACUGGGAUAACUUCGGGAAACCGGAGCUAAUACCGGAUAAUAUUUUGAACCGCAUGGUUCAAAAGUGAAAGACGGUCUUGCUGUCACUUAUAGAUGGAUCCGCGCUGCAUUAGCUAGUUGGUAAGGUAACGGCUUACCAAGGCAACGAUGCAUAGCCGACCUGAGAGGGUGAUCGGCCACACUGGAACUGAGACACGGUCCAGACUCCUACGGGAGGCAGCAGUAGGGAAUCUUCCGCAAUGGGCGAAAGCCUGACGGAGCAACGCCGCGUGAGUGAUGAAGGUCUUCGGAUCGUAAAACUCUGUUAUUAGGGAAGAACAUAUGUGUAAGUAACUGUGCACAUCUUGACGGUACCUAAUCAGAAAGCCACGGCUAACUACGUGCCAGCAGCCGCGGUAAUACGUAGGUGGCAAGCGUUAUCCGGAAUUAUUGGGCGUAAAGCGCGCGUAGGCGGUUUUUUAAGUCUGAUGUGAAAGCCCACGGCUCAACCGUGGAGGGUCAUUGGAAACUGGGAAACUUGAGUGCAGAAGAGGAAAGUGGAAUUCCAUGUGUAGCGGUGAAAUGCGCAGAGAUAUGGAGGAACACCAGUGGCGAAGGCGACUUUCUGGUCUGUAACUGACGCCGAUGUGCGAAAGCGUGGGGAUCAAACAGGAUUAGAUACCCUGGUAGUCCACGCCGUAAACGAUGAGUGCUAAGUGUUAGGGGGUUUCCGCCCCUUAGUGCUGCAGCUAACGCAUUAAGCACUCCGCCUGGGGAGUACGACCGCAAGGUUGAAACUCAAAGGAAUUGACGGGGACCCGCACAAGCGGUGGAGCAUGUGGUUUAAUUCGAAGCAACGCGAAGAACCUUACCAAAUCUUGACAUCCUUUGACAACUCUAGAGAUAGAGCCUUCCCCUUCGGGGGACAAAGUGACAGGUGGUGCAUGGUUGUCGUCAGCUUGUGUCGUGAGAUGUUGGGUUAAGUCCCGCAACGAGCGCAACCCUUAAGCUUAGUUGCCAUCAUUAAGUUGGGCACUCUAAGUUGACUGCCGGUGACAAACCGGAGGAAGGUGGGGAUGACGUCAAAUCAUCAUGCCCCUUAUGAUUUGGGCUACACACGUGCUACAAUGGACAAUACAAAGGGCAGCGAAACCGCGAGGUCAAGCAAAUCCCAUAAAGUUGUUCUCAGUUCGGAUUGUAGUCUGCAACUCGACUACAUGAAGCUGGAAUCGCUAGUAAUCGUAGAUCAGCAUGCUACGGUGAAUACGUUCCCGGGUCU
rnacentral:rRNA from 1 species